ACGGCAUGAUGGGGAUAUUUUCGAGUGAGGUCCUUUAAUCUUUCCCAUGACUCAUGGAACUGCUCACCAUCUUGUUGCGAAAAGUUAGUGAGCGCUCAUCUUAUCU
rnacentral:snoRNA from 1 species